AUAAGCACGCACGGUAAGCUGCCGUCCCAAUCUUGCCAUUUUCUGUUCUCAGCGCAUCCUCGCCGCCGCCGCUCUUCCAUGGCCCGACCUGCAUCGGCGCCGCCCCUACCAUCCCUCUCUCCACAACCUCUUUUCUCCCCGCAGGUCGCUCCCCACCACCGCUUUUUUUUUUCCGUGGAAGAAUCCCGUUUCCAUGUAUUUUUCCACAUUGGAUCUGUGGGAACGACGAUGAUUGCGCCGGCGUGUCGGGACAGGAGGACCAGUGGAGCAUCUUCAUCGACAUGCUCGUGCUGGAGCCCGCCAUCACCGGCUUCUCCGGCCGCAACCUGGAAUCGCUGCAAGGGGCACGGGAGAUACUCUCCAAGGUGAGGCUGCUGCUCAAGGUGUAGCUCCGGAACCUGGUCUCCCUCCUCAGCUGAUACGCCUCCUCUGCUGCCGGGGCCGGAGCCGGGCACAAGAUGCUCGUAUACCCGCACAAGAUGCUCGUAUACCCGUACUUUUCAAACGGCAGCCUUGGAGACUUCCUCUUCGGCGAGUCACCUCCAUUCCAACCUCGAGUUCUCCAUUAUCUGCAAUAGAAAUACUUCUGAAUUUAGGGCCAGACUUAAACACAAUUCGCCUAAUGUUAGAGUUCAUGUGGUUUUUUUUUGGUUUCGCUGUCAGGAUUCAUACGAUUUGUAAGGCAGCAGUAUAAUUAUCCGCCACUCCGGUCAACGGUGUAAUGGUAGUUUGGUCGUCUCCUGUGCUUGUGCCAUAAAAAUAAUACUCCCUGAAUACUGCAGUAUAUACUAUGGUGAAUGAGAAGCUAGCUAGCUUGUGCACUCGAUCCCUGUUAGAUACUGCAGUGUAUACUUCUUGCUUACAUUACAGUCUGUAUAAACGAUGCUGACAUUACAGUCGGAAUAAAUCCCACUUUUAAAUUCUGUCUAAUUGUACAACUUGUAGAGAAUGCAAUUCAGUGUAAUUGUACAACCUGUUGAGAAUUCUGCGUAAAAUACCCAUUCAUGUACUUUGAAAUUAACUUCAAUCUGGAGUAGUAGUGUAGUGAAGAUGAUCUCUGAAUUCACUUUAAUCAACCAGAUGCUCCUCUAGCUUAGUACUCCAUGGGCUUAUUGUCAUCUUUCUAGUAUUGGAGUGUGCCUUCUUGACGUGAACGAGCUUGGAGGCAAUCUGGGGGUGAACGAGCUCUCCCAGUAAUCCUCUUCAAUGCUUGAUUCCCACCGCUUCAAUGUUUGAUGGAACGUGUCUGUUGAUUUUUCCUUCAUGUCGUGCUCACUGGGAAAAUCCGAAUGAGAUUAUGUUUGUUUGAUGUGUUGUUUUUGGGAAAACCCGAACCUGAGCAUGUGACCCUUUUAUGUCUCCAUCUAGCAUCUGCCCCAUUUUAUUUUCAGUUUUCAUGUCUGUGUAAUACGCUGAGUGGUUCAGCUCAGUUUUAUGUAUAAAGGCUUUCAAAAUCUGUGUCGUGUACAUGAGCAAGAACGGCUGAUCAUGGACAUGAGAAGAACUUUCUAACCAGUCUCUGCCUCCAUAGUUAGGUGUACUCAAGGGCCUCCACAUGAUGGACCUAGCAAAUACCUACUCGAAGGGAGCCUCCUGACGGAGCUCGCCGGGCACGAGAGCCUAACGCUGCUCGACCUCUGGAGCCUCACCGGAGGGCUAUCGGGCUGGUCUGGAGCAUCCCAUGGAGAGUCCAUGACGUUGAUGCCCAGGCUGCGGUUCAACCACAACCGCCUCUCUGGUGCCGUUCUGGCCAAGAUCCUCUUGAUGCCGAGCAUCGGGGCAUCUACAUGUUGUAGUUUCUCCCUCAUGCGCAUGAUCUUUUUUCUCUUCAUGAUGUUUCCACCAUAGAUGCUACCUGUACUACUCAGUAGACAAAUUCGCAUGUCUGUUCCAAUUCAUGACCACAACUUCUACUUGUUAUUUUCAUAUCCCCACAUUCUUAUGCAGACAGAAUUUAUAGCACUAGUUUCUUAUUGCUCUUUUCUAAUUUGUUUGAUGUCACAUGCACCAUGUCGCGGAAAGUGACCACGGUUAGUUUCACAGAAAGUGACCACGGUUAGUUUCGUGGAAAGUGACCCCUUCCCCUUUUCUCAAAUCUCGAUUUUUUACCAUGUUUCUGAUCUCGAUUACUUGCUGAUAUUUUUUGCAUCGUGUUUCCAGGUCCCAUGGUCAUUCAAAUUAAUAGUAGAAUUUUAGAGUAUGGUCAUGGAAUUUUCUUAUUGAUAUUUUGAUAGCGGUCAUGAUCCAACCCCAAUUAGCAUUUUGGAAUCAUUAUUUGGCAGCGUUAAUGUCAGUUUUUGUUUGGUUUAGUAAGGACGCAGUGGAGACCAUGAACAAUCAUAGCGCAGUGAAGAUUGGUUGUUUCUCUGGGUUUUGUGAGUGAUAGUGGUUUCACAGACAAUAGGAUUGUUUCUGUUGCUCACGAUUCACCUCAAUUAUUCACUGGUAGAUGCUAGGCAACAUAUUGAUUUUCCCUUCAUAUCGUGCUGAAUGGAAAAAUCCGAAUUGGAUUUGUUUGUUUGACGUGUUGUUUUGGGGAAAAGCUAGAAUGAGAGUCUGCUGUUGCUCCAGCUCCAACAAUUUUGGAUCCAAAUGUGAUGUAAUCCCUUUCUCUCACUUGACUGAGUUUUGCUUUUUUGGAGACUAAUAUUUUUUUGGAUCAGCUGACAAUCUUUUACUGAAGCUAAUGUAUCUGGUACUGAAGCUAAUGGAGUCAUUAAUGUAAAAAUUUGCACAACCAAAACAAUCAGUCAGACAUGGUGCCCGCCUGGUUCUGGACAAUGAUGGCUUUCACCGUGCUUGCUUCCCUGUACCUGUGUGGUGGACAAUUGUUGGUCGCUGUGCAUACCAUGGCCUCAUACACCUGCACCAUCCUGCUCAUCUACUAUGUGCGCCGCAUGGAGUUCGCUUCACCGGCGUCAAGGCCAGCGAUGGCAGUAGCCGUGGUGGUUCUCCUAUUGUGGACAUGGGAUUGAAUUAUAUGCCAAAUGCCUGACCGACAAUGCUGCUAGGGAUAGCAGCUGGUACUAUCUUCACGAUCGCUACUCCAAGCACGAGUUUUAUGACUGAGAACGAGGAGGCCUCCGUAGUUGGAGAACCUUGAUGUAACUUGGAUAGGGUUCUGGAACAAAUUAAUGUAUCUUGUUAAGCAAUGAUUGAUUACUGUCUUAUGGGUGCACGCUUCCAUGUAAAUCGUUCUAUGUUAUGAAAUCAGUUUGUUUUUUCA